rnacentral:rRNA from 1 species
UACGGAGGGUGCGAGCGUUAAUCGGAAUUACUGGGCGUAAAGCGUGCGCAGGCGGUUUGUUAAGCGAGAUGUGAAAGCCCCGGGCUCAACCUGGGAACCGCAUUUCGAACUGGCAAACUAGAGUCUUGUAGAGGGGGGUAGAAUUUCCAGUGUAGCGAUGAAAUGCGUAGAUAUUGGAAGGAAUACCGGUGGCGAAGGCGGCCACCUGGGCCUGUACUGACGCUCAUGCACGAAAGCGUGGGGAGCAAACAGG